AAAAAGUCCUACACAAUUUUUAAUCAGAAUUGAAUUAACUGGACUUUCAGUCAAAAUAAAAUUAUUUUAAUUAAGAAUCUAAAACUUUUUUUUUUUUUUAAAUACAAAAAUAUACUUCUGUAUUGGUACAAAGCAAAGGCAUCUUCUCCUGCACAAUUAUUAAUAUUAUCAAAGACAAUUUAACAGAAAUUCUGAUAUUUCAGUGUGAAAUGAUAGGUAUGCAUCAUAGUUGUAACAAAGUUAAAAUCUUUUUUAAAAACCCUAAUUAACAAGAAGUAAAAAAAAAAAGCUGCAAUUUUAGAUUCUUAAAGGAAACUGAUGGCUAUUUCUUUAAUUUCUGUGAAGUGAGUAUCUUAUUUAUUUGGAUUUUUUUGAUUUUUUAAAAGACAUUUGACAAAUAUUAGAACCAUAAGCUUAUCUUGAUUAAGACUUGUUCUAUAGAUUUCAGAAAAUUCUGUGAAAAUUCUGAAGUCUAUGAAAAAUUUCUCAGGGAAAUCAAGCACAAAUAUGGAGCUUCAAAACAGGGAAAAAAAUGAGAUUAAGAAUUGUGUGGCUGAUGUUCAGAAACACAAUUGUUAAAGUCAAAACAAAAAAGUAAAAUGCUAAGAUAUAUAUCCCCUACUUCAGGAAAAUAAAACACAGAAAACAUGUUUCUGAUUUGUCCAUCUGCACAAUUAUAUGUUGUUCUUAAUUCGGUUUUGUUCUUUUGUUUCAAGAACAAACUAUUCCAUGAUCUUUGCAUAUAACAGAACUCAGGCAUGGUUUCAUAUAUUUUAAAGAAACUUCCCCUGAUUAGUUUUAUUUUAGAAAGUGUUCCUCUCCAUGCUCUUCAGUAGCUAUUUAGAUGACAUAUUGAGAAUCCACUCACACACUUCAGGCAGAGACCAUGGAAAACCACACAGCCCACACUAUGCAGUGGACUGUACUCUUGACCAUGCACCUCACUUUGCAAAUAGCACAGAUUUCUUCCCCAUCAUUUACCAAAUCUGGCAUAUUGUAGCCAGAAACUUUACACAUGCCAAGAACUCAAAUACCAGGCUAUGCUGCAAACAAACAAAAAAAACACUCCUUCCCCCAAAACUCUGGUGUGUCUCAUACACUAAAUUUCCUCUAUAGAAACUUUGGUCCCAGAAACUUUCUGCAGGAUAAGUGAGAGAAAGAAGAGGAAACACCACAUAACAGGACGGGAAAUAAAUCCCCUUGUCUCUGCCCAGAAGUGCCCUGAAGGAGCUGGCUGAGAUGCAGCUCAUACCCAGAUUACUGCCCACUGAUGACAAGGGAAGGGAUGGAAGGAAAAAAUAUAGGUAUGAAAACAAAUAUAUUAAAUAAUUUAAAUCUAGAUUUAAUAUUGAAGUCAUCAGACCUGCUGGAGGAGGGAUUGCAAGGGUAUGAGAGUGUCAGGUUUGGGGAUUCUGGGGAGUGAAGGAGAGAUAAGUGUGUACUUCCUAGUUUGCCUCACUCCCUUCAUCCUCUGUGCUGGAGGAUGAGAAGGUUGAGCGGGUUUAGGGGCUCUGCAGCUGCCCUUCUCACACUUGAAUAAAGAGGAGCUUUUCUUUCUGGAGGGGGCAAGAUCUGUGAAUACCAUACUCAAUCAGAGAUGGGUCAUAUUGAAAACUAUAUUAAAUUACCCUGAUUAACAAUUUAUCCACGAACAGGGGAGCUUUGGGAGAUCUCUAUAGUAAGAGCUGGGGGCUAUUCAUGCCAGCAGCUAAGAGGUCGAAAGGUUUCUGAAGUUCACAGGCUCGGAGCUUUUGUUAUGCUAACAGACAUGCUCAAAUCAGCUGCUUACUGGAGUGUGAAAUAUAAAUGAUUCCUUGUGAACUUCCAACAAGUUGUCACUCUUGUUCUCCAAAUACCAGAACAGGCUGUUAAUUUAUAGUAGAGCCCUUUUCUCUCAGCAUCGUGAGCCCUAAAUGAAUGCCUUUGUACUUCAAAUAAUCUUUCUAAGGAAGUUGCCCUGCCAUAAUAGCCCAAACACAUCUUGUUUUUUCACUACAAAAGGAAAUAUCAGUAUUUAUCCAAAUUUGUCUUUCCCAGUGCAGAGGUGUUAGGGGUGGGUGGGAGAGAUGUUCCCAAAUACAGCAAGCUGGUACCCAAGAUGGGUGGGGUGUAUUAACAAGUGGUGAUAGACUGGGAACUGUGAGAGCCAAAACCUCAUCCCCCACUUCAUUAUGAAAAAAACCCCAGAAAAAGAUUUACUGUUCC
ensembl:lncRNA